rnacentral:rRNA from 1 species
UGGGGAAUAUUGCACAAUGGGCGCAAGCCUGAUGCAGCCAUGCCGCGUGUGUGAAGAAGGCCUUCGGGUUGUAAAGCACUUUCAGCGAGGAGGAAGGGUAGUGUGUUAAUAGCACAUUGCAUUGACGUUACUCGCAGAAGAAGCACCGGCUAACUCCGUGCCAGCAGCCGCGGUAAUACGGAGGGUGCAAGCGUUAAUCGGAAUUACUGGGCGUAAAGCGCACGCAGGCGGUUUGUUAAGUCAGAUGUGAAAUCCCCGCGCUUAACGUGGGAACUGCAUUUGAAACUGGCAAGCUAGAGUCUUGUAGAGGGGGGUAGAAUUCCAGGUGUAGCGGUGAAAUGCGUAGAGAUCUGGAGGAAUACCGGUGGCGAAGGCGGCCCCCUGGACAAAGACUGACGCUCAGGUGCGAAAGCGUGGGGAGCAAACAGGAUUAGAUACCCUG